rnacentral:misc_RNA from 1 species
UUUUUUUUUUUUUAUCUGAGGGUUUUAGUGGUUUCUAAUACCUUUAUGUAAUUAUGUUAUGCAAGAGUAUGGUUAAAGAUUAUUGGAAAGAGAAGGACAUGGAAAAACAAAAGGGCCAAGAAAAGGAUUAUAUGCAAAAGGGAAACGAGAAAAAUUUGAGGGCAGAUAGAUCUAUAACAAGGGCCCCUGCUAAUGGUCUUACUCUUGCUUUUUGAAGUUGUAAUUUUAAAGAAAGUGCUUUCAAAUAGGGCAAAAACAGGAAAAACUAUUUUUACAUUUAUGCAAAACUUGGUCAAUUCUCUGUCUAAGGUGCUUGACUGGGUGUGUAACAUGAGCAAAUCAGAGAGGUCCCUUGGUCUACAGGAUCUUUUGGCAAGUAUAUUUGCGGUGUGCAGCUGUGCACAGCUCAGCAGCUUGAUGAGCUUCUGUUUAAAAGCCUGACCUUGUCAAUACUGUUAAAAGCACAAUUGAAGCACCUUUCAGAGUACAUUGUCCUGUGUUAAUUGAGUUGCCUCUAUGGCAUCUUAGUUUAGUUGGCCAGUUGAGUAUGGCUAAUCUUCUCUGGCAUUUGACUCCAAAAGUUUGCCCCUCUGGCAUAUAAAACUGUGGAUUAAAUUGCAGCUGUGAUCAUUAUAUGUUGUGGCCAAAGUAUAAUGCUUGCAGCUGGUGCUAUUGUGAGAAUUUUCUUAAAACUAGCUUGAAAAGAAGGGGUAUGUAUACAUAUUGUGUGAUGGUUGAAACAGACUUUUCCACUUGUUAUUCUCAUGUGUCUAUCACAGAACAGCCUGCAACAUACUGUAGGACAAAAAAAUGGAUAUGUAACAGACAUUAUGUUUUCUACUGGCCGUUAUAUGAAACCCGGUAUAAACUAUUGAGACACAAGGAAAGAUCAUUGAGCUUUGGAAUAAAGAAGUUGUGGGAAUUAGGAUGUAUUUUUUUUUGGAAAAUCUGGUUAACUGUUUUGCAUUGUAAGGUGCAGAAUUCUUAGAAAGGCCAUCAUUGUCAAGGAGGCAAACCCGUGAUUCUUUUGGGAAAGAGAGGACUGUAUUCUUCAAGAUUAGUUGAUGUAUUAAAUGAAGAAGCAAAGGUUCAGUUUAUCAUGUGAUUCGAAGACAUGGAAUUGCAUUGGGUUUUGUUUCUCAUGCUUGCAUACUAACUUGUAUUUUCUGUGCUUGGUUUUGCUUAAUUUAAUAAUUCCCCAUCUUGGCAGAUCUUUCUUGAGUCAUGUAUCUUUCGUUGCUUUCUUUUGAGAUGAUAUGUUUAUACUUUCCAAAUAUUUUUGUGAUAAUAUUAAAUUCCUAGUCAUGCUUGACAUGUUAAAUGUUCUGUAUUCUUAAUAGUUUCAAAUUUGAUUCUGAGCUUUUCCUUUCUCACUGCAGUCUAGGCAAAAGGCACUGGCAGACCUACAG